rnacentral:rRNA from 1 species
UACGUAGGGCGUAAGCGUUGUCCGGAAUUAUUGUCCGUAAAGAGCUCGUAGGCGGCUUGUCACGUCGGUUGUGAAAGCCCGGGGCUUAACCCCGGGUCUGCAGUCGAUACGGGCAGGCUAGAGUUCGGUAGGGGAGAUCGGAAUUCCUGGUGUAGCGGUGAGAUGCGCAGAUAUCAGGAGGAACACCGGUGGCGAAGGCGGAUCUCUGGGCCGAUACUGACGCUGAGGAGCGAAAGCGUGGGGAGCGAACAGG